rnacentral:rRNA from 1 species
UACGUAGGGUGCGAGCGUUAAUCGGAAUUACUGGGCGUAAAGCGUGCGCAGACGGUUAUGUAAGUCGGAUGUGAAAGCCCCGGGCUCAACCUGGGAAUUGCAUUCGAGGCUGCAUAGCUAGGAUGCGGAAGAGGGAAGUGGAAUUUCCGGUGUAGCGGUGAAAUGCGUAGAUAUCGGAAGGAACAUCAGUGGCGAAAGCGACUUCCUGGUCCAGCAUCGACGUUCAGGCACGAAAGCGUGGGGAGCAAACAGG